UCUUUGACAGGUGUUGUUCAACACACCGAUUUAUGAAACUGCUGUAAAGAUCUGCUGGCAUCUUCCGGGCUACAGGACUCAGAUUGCGAUUAUGACGGAGUUUCUCAGACUUCAGCAGGAAGAUCUAAUUCCACCGAACCUCACUGCUGAAGAUCUGAGAGAUCUUUUGGUGGAGAAGAGCAGGGAGACACUCGGAGAGCAGCUGUGGGAGUUUGAGUUACAGGAUUUUGAAGAAGAGGAAGCCAAACCUCUUCUAAGGCUGGU